UACGUAGGUGGCAAGCGUUGUCCGGAAUUACUGGGCGUAAAGCGUGCGCAGGCGGUUCGUUGUGUCUGCUGUGAAAUCCCCGGGCUCAACCUGGGAAUGGCAGUGGAAACUGGCGAGCUUGAGUGUGGCAGAGGGGGGUGGAAUUCCACGUGUAGCAGUGAAAUGCGUAGAUAUGUGGAGGAACACCGAUGGCGAAGGCAGCCCCCUGGAUUAACACUGACGCUCAUGCACGAAAGCGUGGGGAGCAAACAGG
rnacentral:rRNA from 1 species